rnacentral:snRNA from 1 species
AGCUUUGCACAGUGGCAGUAUCGUAGCCAAUAAGGUUAAUCCAAGGCACGAUUAUUACUAAUUGCCAACUUUUCCCAAUACCCUGCCAUGACAACUUGGAAAAUAUAUAUCACAAUCCAAGUCACAUUGAAGUAUAAUCCACAGCUAAAUGCUUUAUAUUCUUUGAUU